rnacentral:rRNA from 1 species
CGAAGUUGGAUUCGCUAGUAAUCGCGCAUCAGCCAUGGCGCGGUGAAUACGUUCCCGGGCCUUGUACACACCGCCCGUCAAGCCAUGGGAGCCGGGGGCGCCUGAAGUCCGGGACCGCGAGGACCGGCCUAGGGCGAAACUGGUAACUGGGGCUAAGUCGUAACAAGGUAAC